CAAACUGUAAGCCACUCUGAGUCGCCUUCAGGGGGAAAAGCGCGGGGUAGACAUAUAGUAAAUAAAUAAAUAAUACAUUCUCUUGGUCCCUUCCAGACCUCCGGAGCCACAAGGAACCCACGUGGAGGAGCCCUCUCUCUGGACACACAUAAUCGAAGUGAGGACAGUGUUGAAGAAGCUCCUCAGAAGGAGUUCUAGUUCUCAGACCUUUCACUCUUUUGGUCACUCUUCUCUGGACACAGUCUACUUUGUCCCAGCCUUUCCUGACCUUUGUUGCCCAGAAGUGGACACAGUCUUAUUCCAGGCAAAGUCUGACCAAAGCCAAAGAGAUACCCACCUUCAGAGGGAGACAGAGCUUUGGAGACAGGAGGAGCUUCCUCUUGGAGAAAAUCCCAACUCCUUCAAAAGACGAGCUGACUCAGAGCGCAUUACAGCAUAGAAACAGAUACAGGAAAAUAUUCAAUGCCUUGUUACAAUGGAAUACAAUGAAACACAAAUACACAGACAAAGGCAAAGGCUUCUUUCAUUUCCUGCUUCUGUAGGCGGUACUCAUUUCCGGCUGUGGGGGAAGUGCUCAUCUCCAUUUCCUAACCGAGGAGCUUGUGUUAUCCGUACACACCUCCUGAUCGUGUGGCCAGCAUGACUGCAUGGAGCAGCUUUUUACCUUCCUGCCAAGGUGGUACCUAUUUAUCUACUCACAUUUGCUAGAAGCUAGGGCUAACAGCAGGAGCUCACCCCAUCCCAUGGAUUCAAACUGCCGACCUUCAGGUCAGCAGUUCAACAGCACAAAAGUUUAAACCAUUGUGCCACUGCGGCUCCUAUUUGCGUAUAUCCUCUUAAAUGUUGUAUUGUUCAAAUAUGUAUUCAUUAUUGUUGACAGGACUAUUUGCUGGUCUUCUAAGCACCAUACUUAUUAUUAUUAUUAUUUAUUUUAUUUUGCUCAUCAGUAUAAUGUAACUAAACAAGCAAACAAAGUAGAGGUGAGAGGACAAAAUUCAAUAAAUGGAUUUAAAAACUGAAUCAAGACUGAAAAUCACUAUACAAAAUUUUGCGUAUAUAAAAUGUUUGUCAGGAGCCAUGGAGCAAUGCC
rnacentral:lncRNA from 11 species